rnacentral:lncRNA from 1 species
GCGAGGUCCUCCUCUGCGACAUCGCCGCCUCUCGCCGGAGCAAUCGCGGCCGUCGGAAACCCUACCGGCGGGGCCCCGGCGUAGACCUUCUUCCACGGACGGAUCCAGACGACCGACUGGUUCAUUCCUUCCCUGUACGGUCAUCGUCUUCUUCCUCCGGACCACUCCCUUCGUACCGGUUGACCUUGUAAUGGAGUUUUGGUCGUUGUGCUAACGCCACAGCGACGGAUGCCAGGGGAGUUGGUGAGGGCAGGAUCGGUGAAGAACCCCAACGGUGGUGCCGCUCCGUUCCUGUCGGCACGCAGGGAGUUGCCGGAAAUGGAAGUGGAUGCUCGAAAAGUGGGCUGCAACGGGGGACGGUAGGCUGCGCCGCCUCCGCGAUCGUCCUCUCCGUCUUUGCUUCCAUCUCAGAGUGAGGUUGAUCGGCGAGGGCUCCAGAUCUGAAGGCCGGAUGGUCCUUUCUCGCUCCAAGGCAAGUGCACUCCUCGCGUCGCAGUCCUUCCGCUGACGAUUUAAUGGAAUUCUCAGUCCGAUUCGGACGGUAGGAAUGAUUUCUUAGCUGAAAUUAGGGCAGACUCAGGUUAUUUGCACGGAGUUGACCCUCGGAUCAUUCAAUUUCCCCCUCCAUAUCUUUCUGUCGACAGUCUGGAUUUGAUGGAACUGGCUGGAUUCCCUGGAGCAUACGGAGUCGGAG